CUGCCUCUGAUUCUGAUCAGCCAGCAAGUUCACAACAGUUUUGCCAGCUCCAGCUGAUUUCAUCUUGAUAUUGUUUGACAGAAGAUUCACCAAAAGGGAAAGCAGAAAGAACAUUUCCUCCUCUGCUCCUCACUGAACAGUAAGUCAUACCUGGCAGAGACAAACCUUUCAGGGGACCAUCAGUCCUGAUACAGAGCUAUUAAAUGUCUGAAAAUUCACCAU